ACGAACGCUGGCGGCGUGCUUAACACCUGCAAGUCGCACGGAAAGGCCCUGCUUUUGUGGGGUGCUCGAGUGGCGAACGGGUGAGUAACACGUGAGUAACCUGCCCUUGACUUUGGGAUAACUUCAGGAAACUGGGGCUAAUACCGGAUAGGAGCUCCUGCUGCAUGGUGGGGGUUGGAAAGUUUCGGCGGUUGGGGAUGGACUCGCGGCUUAUCAGCUUGUUGGUGGGGUAGUGGCUUACCAAGGCUUUGACGGGUAGCCGGCCUGAGAGGGUGACCGGCCACAUUGGGACUGAGAUACGGCCCAGACUCCUACGGGAGGCAGCAGUGGGGAAUAUUGCACAAUGGGCGGAAGUCUGAUGCAGCAACGCCGCGUGCGGGAUGACGGCCUUCGGGUUGUAAACCGCUUUCGCCUGUGACGAAGCGUGAGUGACGGUAAUGGGUAAAGAAGCACCGGCUAACUACGUG
rnacentral:rRNA from 1 species